rnacentral:rRNA from 1 species
GGGAGGCUUAACACAUGCAAGUCGAGCGGUAGCACAGGGGAGCUUGCUCCCUGGGUGACGAGCGGCGGACGGGUGAGUAAUGUCUGGGAAACUGCCUGAUGGAGGGGGAUAACUACUGGAAACGGUAGCUAAUACCGCAUAACGUCGCAAGACCAAAGAGGGGGACCUUCGGGCCUCUUGCCAUCAGAUGUGCCCAGAUGGGAUUAGCUAGUAGGUGGGGUAAUGGCUCACCUAGGCGACGAUCCCUAGCUGGUCUGAGAGGAUGACAGCCACACUGGAACUGAGACACGGUCCAGACUCCUACGGGAGGCAGCAGUGGGGAAUAUUGCACAAUGGGCGCAAGCCUGAUGCAGCCAUGCCGCGUGUGUGAAGAAGGUCUUCGGGUUGUAAAGCACUUUCAGCGAGGAGGAAGGUGGUGAGCUUAAUACGUUCAUCAAUUGACGUUACUCGCGAAGAAGGCACCGGCUAACUCCGUGCCAGCAGCCGCGGUAAUACGGAGGGUGCAAGCGUUAAUCGGAAUUACUGGGCGUAAAGCGCACGCAGGCGGUUUGUUAAGUCAGAUGUGAAAUCCCCGGGCUCAACCUGGGAACUGCAUUUGAAACUGGCAAGCUAGAGUCUCGUGAGGGGGGGUAGAAUUCCAGGUGUAGCGG